ensembl:snRNA U6 U6 spliceosomal RNA
GUGCUCACCUUGGCAGCACAUAUACUAUAACUUGAACGACAGAGAAAAGAUUAGCACAGCCCCUGCACAAAAAUGGCAUGCAAAUCCCUGAAGCAUUCCAUAUCUUU